rnacentral:rRNA from 1 species
AUGUCUCAAGAUUAGCCAUGCAUGUCUCAGUAUAAGCUUCUAUACGGCGAAACUGCGAAUGGCUCAUUAAAACAGUUAUAGUUUAUUUGGUGGUCAGCAAUUACAUUGAUAACCGUGGUAAUUCUAGAGCUAAUACAUGCGCCCAAACCCGACUUCGUGGAAGGGUUGUGUUUAUUAGAUACAGAACCAACCCAGGCUCCGCCUGGCCUUGAGGUGAUUCAUAAUAACCGAACGAAUCGCAUGGCUAUGCCGGCGAUAGACCAUUCAAGUUUCUGACCUAUCAGCUAUCGUCGGUAGGGUAUUGGCCUACCGUGGCAAUGACGGGUAACGGAGAAUUAGGGUUCGAUUCCGGAGAGGGAGCCUGAGAAACGGCUACCACAUCUAAGGAAGGCAGCAGGCGCGCAAAUUACCCAAUCCUGACGCAGGGAGGUAGUGACAAGAAAUAACAAUACAGGGCAUACAUGUCUUGUAAUUGGAAUGAGUAAACUUUAAAUCACUUU